UUGUGUUUUUUUUGUUGUUUGGAACAUAUUCUUCAUUUUUCUUGACUCUGUGUUAGUUUCUGGGCAUUAGAUAAAACAACUUCUCCCAGCCUUGAUGGAGUAGGCUCAUGAGGAGACGAACCUUAUCAUUCAGUCUAUCAAGUUCUUGUUUGUCUCACAAACCUUUGUGAUUGUCCAAGCUGCCCUCUUUGUUCUUAGUGGCUCCCAGUAGUUGAGGGUCCACCAAGACCUGCCAGUGUUCCAAGGAGGAGGACCUCAGUCAGCACCUCAAUGCAGGCUGAUUGGAAACUGGGCCCUCAGGCAGCAGCCUUUAAAGUAUGUGAAUAGACCUCUUUCAGGGAAAGACUGGGAGAUGGGUGCCAGCUUCCUCUGUGCUGAGCCCUGGGUGGAGCCAUGGGAUAGCAAGUUGAGAACUUUUUGUUUACUACAGUCCUGUGGAGCCCACAAACACAAGCCCUGCUGGCCACCAGAGCCAGACAAUCAAGGGUACAUUCUCUGGGCAUGUGCACAAGCUCCUUCCAGGGAGACACCAGCAGCCUGAAGUGGGCUGGAGGAAGAAUGCAGAGAUGGCACUCACUGGCCUCCCCCAUCUCCAGGGAGGAUCACAGUCUCCAGGUGUGUGCUGAAUUAGGAGACUAACUCUCAGGCUGCAGCUUUUAAGAUAUGCAAAUCGGCGUCCUUCAGGGAAAGACUGGGAGAUGGGUGUUUCUGUCUGCUGCCUCUGCACUGAAUUCUGGGAGGACAGCCACAGUGAGUCCUCAUGAGCCCGUUAAAAACUGUUUCUUUCCUUGCUGUGGUCUUAUGGGUCUCAUGGACACAAGCCCUGUUGGCUUUCAGAGCUUUGGGGCCGGCCUUCAGGUGGAAGUGUUAAAAGUUGCAGCACUAGAUGUUGGGUCCAAACCCCUCACUCGUCAGGAAGCCGUGAGUUGUGCCUUCCCUCCCAGGUGUAUCUCACUGAGCUGGGGGUGGGGUUUAUGGCAAGUGUGUGUCUCAGCUUCUCCUACCCAUCUCAACGUGGGAAUUUUCUUGUUUGCCCAAAAUGUACGAGUCACUCAGCUAGUUUCUGAAUUUCUUUCAGGGGGAAUUGCUCUGUGUGUAGCUAGAGAUUUGGUGUCCAUGGGAACAGGAACUAAAUGCUGGUGCCCACCACCCUCAGGCUGACUGAGCAGAGACCUGCCUCCUCUGUGUUCUGGCUGUCGGCGUAGCCUUCGGUAAAUGGUCAAUGCAGGGUCAAGAAAGGUUCAAGAUCCUCUGUUUUGUAAGGCCGACUCUUUCUGUGGUGACAUUUAAUUAAACAGAAGUAAAGGGGGACUCGGUACCAUUGAGUUUUAGGGUUAACAACAUAAUCUAGCUGGUUUUGGGGAAAUGUGAGGUGAAGUGAAGGGGUUACAAAUAAGGAUAACGACUUCAUUUUCAUCCUAGUUUUAUUUACAGCUUGCUUUCAGUAGCUUGCUCUGUAACACGUAUGUUUACUUCCUUCUUAAGCCAGAUCAUUGAAAGUGACUUUUCACAUGAGAAGAAAGGCAAUAUGAAGCUUCAUUUGAAAUUUUUUUCCAGAAAGGAUAUUUAAACAAGGCUGAGUGAAUUAGGAGAACCAUUUUAUUGAUGGUCUAAGUUUAAAACUACUUCAAAUACAUGUAUUUUCAUACUUUGUAUUUUUAAAGUGUUUUUCAGGCGGUGAUUAUUUUAAAACCAUAUUGACUUAAAUCUCGCAAAACUGAUGGAGUGAGUCUGUGUAUAUCAUAUCCAUUUCAGAAAGAGAAUAAAAAGAAAUGUUAAGUGA